GCUCUGACCGGCCGACACGCUCACUUGCGGCCCUUGGGCACUUUGGGGACGCUGGGCUUGGCCGCCUUCUUCACCUUCUUGCCCCCGGCGGCCGCCGUCUUCUUGGCCUUGCCGCCUUUGUCCUUCUUGGCGCCAGCGCCCUUCUUGUGCGAGCGCUGCUCCGGCUUCUGGCCCCUGGCGGGCUUCUUGUCCGCGCGCCGGGAGCCGGCCGCGCCCGGGGCUGCCUUCUUCGCUUUGUGCGCGGUGGGGGCCGGGGCGGUGGCGGCCGCCGGGGCUCCGCGCCGCUCCCCGCCGCCCUCCAGCUUCUUGCGGUUGAGCUUGAAGGAACCGUUGGCGCCGGUGCCCUUCACCUGCAGAAGCGUGUCGUUCUGCACCAGCGCCUUGAUCGAGUACUUGAGGGCACCCUCCCUGCAUGGCCCGAUGACCUGCACUCCUGUUUCAUCUCCCCGUGUGGCACCUGGGGCAGCUUGGAGCCUACCAAGGUCUCAACAAGGAACCAGUAAAUACCAAAAAAAGGACAUCACGUCCCCUACAGCUAACUGCAAAUGGUGACCAUCCCAGCCCUUGUUUGAUAACACAAGCAAAGCAAUGGCUUCUUCAAGGACACCGAGAGGAACCUCACCUCUUUCUAAAACCUCCAACACAGGGCCAGGCGCGGUGGCUCAUGCGUGUAAUCCCAGCACUUUGGGAGGCCGAGGCAGGUGGAUCACGAGGUCAGGAGAUCGAGACCAUCCUGGCUAACACGGUGAAACCCCGUCUCUACUA
rnacentral:lncRNA from 1 species